rnacentral:rRNA from 1 species
UACGUAGGGUGCGAGCGUUGUCCGGAAUUAUUGGGCGUAAAGGGCUCGUAGGCGGUUUGUCGCGUCGGGAGUGAAAACCAGGUGCUUAACACCUGGCUUGCUUUCGAUACGGGCAGACUAGAGGUAUGCAGGGGAGAACGGAAUUCCUGGUGUAGCGGUGAAAUGCGCAGAUAUCAGGAGGAACACCGGUGGCGAAGGCGGCCCGCUGGGCAGGAAGGCUCGCAAGAGCCGGCUGACACUGAGGCGCGACAGCGUGGGGAGCAAACAGG